AGUAAAACAGUACGUGAAAUUGUUGAAAGGGAAACGAUUGAAGUCAGUCAUGCCGGCGUUGGAUUCAGCUUGCUUCGCGGAGCUUGCGCAUUUCCUCGCAUGGCAGGUCAGCGUCAGUUUUGCGCGGCGUGAAAAGGCUCGGGUAAGGUAGCUCUCUUCGGGGAGUGUUAUAGACCUGGGCAAAUGCGCAGCGCGGGACUGAGGAUUGCAGCGGACACCUCUUCGGAGGCGCGGCGACCGAACCCUGCUCGGCCACCCUCGUUCGAUAGCGUGCUAGCGGACGCGGGAGCGGCGGUGCACCGGAACAGGCAAGCCAGCGGUUCGCUUAGGAUGCUGACGUAAUGGCUUUAAA
rnacentral:misc_RNA from 1 species